GAGAUUUUUGAUGUUAAGGUUAAUUUUGUCUUUAAAAAUUAAUUACUUUGGAUAAUUUUAUAUAUUAGUUUUUGCGCGUUAAAAUUUUAUCUUAAGGGUAAAAAAGUUUUGUAGUUGUAGUUUUUAAUAUUAAACUAUUCUAGAAAUAUAGAUUUAGUUAAUUAUUUUAGGGUUGUUAAAGGUUGUGCCAGCAAACGCGGUUAUACAAUCAACUCAAGUUAAUUUGUUUGGUUUUUAUUAUUUUAUAUUUGUUGGGGAUUUAUUUAUAUUUGUUAGGUGAAAUUUCAAUUGUUUAUAUAUUCUCUUGGUUUUGAUAAUAUAAGAAAUUUAGAAUUUAAACUAGGAUUAGAUACCCUAUUAUUCUAAAUGUAAAUUGAAAACCAUAGUACUAAUAGUUAUGUUCU
rnacentral:rRNA from 1 species